rnacentral:rRNA from 1 species
UACGUAGGGUGCAAGCGUUGUCCGGAAUUAUUGGGCGUAAAGAGCUUGUAGGCGGUUUGUCGCGUCUGCUGUGAAAUCCCCGGGCUCAACCCGGGAACUGCGUCCGAUACUGGAAGGCUUGAAUCCGGGAGAGGGAUGCGGAAUUCCAGGUGUAGCGGUGAAAUGCGUAGAUAUCUGGAGGAACACCGGUGGCGAAGGCGGCAUCCUGGACCGGCAUUGACGCUGAGGCGCGAAAGCCAGGGGAGCAAACGGG